rnacentral:rRNA from 1 species
GAUGAACGCUGGCGGCGUGCCUAAUACAUGCAAGUCGAGCGAACGGACGAGAAGCUUGCUUCUCUGAUGUUAGCGGCGGACGGGUGAGUAACACGUGGAUAACCUACCUAUAAGACUGGGAUAACUUCGGGAAACCGGAGCUAAUACCGGAUAAUAUUUUGAACCGCAUGGUUCAAAAGUGAAAGACGGUCUUGCUGUCACUUAUAGAUGGAUCCGCGCUGCAUUAGCUAGUUGGUAAGGUAACGGCUUACCAAGGCAACGAGGCAUAGCCGACCUGAGAGGGGGAUCGGCCACACUGGAACUGAGACACGGUCCAGACGCCUACGGGAGGCAGCAGUAGGGAAUCUUGCGCAAUGGGCGAAAGCCUGACGGAGCAACGCCGCGUGAGUGAUGAAGGUCUUCGGAUCGUAAAACUCUGUUAUUAGGGAAGAACAUAUGGGUAAGUAACUGUGCACAUCUUGACGGUACCUAAUCAGAAAGCCACGGCUAACUACGUG